GAUGAAGAACGUAGCGAAAUGCGAUAAGUAAUGUGAAUUGCAGAAUUCAGUGAAUCAUCGAAUCUUUGAACGCACCUUGCACUCCUUGGUAUUCCGAGGAGUACGCCCGUUCGAGUGUUAUGAAGCUCUCAAAACGCAAUUGGCUUAAAACCUGAUUGUUGUUUUGGAUUUGAACUUUGCCGUGUUAUAACGGCUGGUUUUAAAAGUAUUAGCUGGUACUAGAACGAAUUGGUUCUACUCAACGUGAUAAUUAUCUGAUCGUUGAGGACAUUCCUUUCACGAGGAAUGGCCAUAGUAAAUUCAAUGGACUGCUUCUAAUCUGGCUUUAAUUCUUUAUUGGAUUAACCACUUUUCAAAUCUGACCUCGAAUCAGGUGGGACUACCCGCUGAACUUAAGCAUAUCAAUAAGCGGAGGA
rnacentral:misc_RNA from 1 species